CAAGGUUAAUGUACAAAAACUUUAAAAGUUAGUAUAAUAGGUAAGUUUUAAUUAUACUGAUGAAUUAAGCAUUAAAAAUUAUUUUGGAAAAAUAAAAAUGAAAAUGGUAAAUUCUAAUUAAGAAAUAUGUGAAAUGGAAAACCCAAACUUUAUGAAGUGAAAUGAUACAGGGUAUUUUGCAAAUCUCCGAGAAGUUCUUAAACGCAGUGAAGAAGCUGGUUUCUGGUUGAACUGAAAUAAGUGUAAAUUUUUUCUAUCUAGUAUAAAGUAUUUGGGUCACAUAAUAGAUAAGAAAGGAUCGAGAAAGGACCCUGAAAACUUGGAGUGCAUUUCAAAAUGCCCCAGCUCAAAGAUAUGAUGCCCAAUGAUAUAAUGUCCCUAAUCUACUAUUGGGUAAAUUACUAAAAACCCUUUGGUCAUAAUAGAGACUGUUGCUCUCGAAUCUACUUCCAUUUUGACUAAUUUAUCAUUAAACAACUCAAAUUCAUUAAUAGACUAUUCUUCAAACACUUCUACAUUUUUAACAUUGACGUUUUGCUUACAUACUACGGCUAAAUGACUCAUUUUAUUGCACAAAUUAUAUUUAUACUCUGAGGUAUUUCUAUGGAUUAAAAUUAUAGUUACCUUUAUUACAUUGAAAACAAUUUUUUUGAUCUGACCAGCAUCCCUUACACUGCAUCAUAUAUGACUGGGACUUAUGAAUGAGGUUUGCCGCCGUCUGCAUUCCCAUUUUUGCGAGUAUUUUUGCUUUAAUUUUUAACUUUAAUUUUGGAACUAAGUUAGUCUGCUCAAUUCUGAAUUCAUAAUUGUACUUAAAUCAGCAAUAAUCAUAUGUUCAAAAUAAAAAAUUGAAAAAUUAAAUAUGUUCCACAUAAUUUUUACACAAAUGGUUUUCGUUCAAAAAUUUGGUAUUAAAAUGCUUAUAAAAAAAAUAAAUACUACAUUAAAUUCAAUUUUUUCUCGUUUGCUAUUAAGUACAACUUAUAAUGAAAUCUUUGUUGAAUUUUCAAGCAUUUCUGUUUGGUCUAACAAUAUUUUUCAUUGAGUACCUACCGAAUAAAAAUUAAUCUAAUUAACACCCAAAAUUUAAAUGUUUAUAAAUAGUUAAUGAAUGGCUCAAAUGUUUUGAAAAUGUUUUUUCUUCUAAAAAAGGUAAAUACAAGUUCUUUUUCUAUAUUUCAAGUCUUUACUAAUAUUUGUAAUUAAAUCUCAAAAAAAAAAAAAAAUUAAAUAAUAAAAGCAUUAUUUUCAUAAAAUUUCACGUUCUUUUUAGGUUUUUUUUUUAUUUCGCUCAAUUAUUAAAAAAACUACCCAAAAAAAAAAAAUGUCUAGAUCACAGACCUAGUUAAGAAUUCACUAGAAAAGGUUUCUUGUCUUUUUUCGAUUGGAGCAUUAUUUCUGGUAAAAAAGUUGUUUACAGACACUAAAAAAAAUAAAAAUAAUAAUACUAUAAAAAUAAAAAUAAUAUUAAAACUAAUAGAUCCUUAGAUAUACACAGAAUCUAAAAUGAACAUUAUUGUAAAACUAAUAUAGUCCUGUCUGUCAAAUGUUAAUAUCAGUUUUUAAUGAUCAUAUAAAUUAUAAAUAAUUUCUACUUUUGCUAAUUAAAAAUUAAAGUACCUAUUUAUGCUUUUAAGUAUUAAAUGAUGCAAAAAUGUAAACAUUAUAAACAGAUAUAGGAGGGUAUAAAUUAAUGUUUAUUGCCACACAUACAAAAAAUUAGUUCAGCACAACUACUUAAAUAAUUAUUAAUUAAAAAAUAAAAUAUGCAGACCGAUUUAUUAAAAUUUAAUAAUUAUCAAUUUUAUAAAUGAGGUUUAAUAUCAUAAUUAAUGUAAAUAGAGUCCAAUUUUUUUAUUUUUAUAUUUAUAUUAUAUUGCAGCGAUUCCCAAACUUUUUUAGUUCACGCCACCCUAAAAAUUAAAAAAAUAAUUUCGCCUCCCAUAAAAAAUUAAAUUACAAAUUUAUAGUAUUUAUAUAUACAAACAUUUUUAUU